CCAGAGCCAGGGCCGAAGCUGGUGGCGGGCCGGCCUCGGGGUGCCGGACCGGCAGGCCCCGCGCCAUCACCCGGCUGCAGCAGCGGCAGUUCGCCCAAUUCGGCGGGGACGACCUUGACCGCGGCGCCCUCCUGGACGAACCUCACCCGGCCGUCACCGACCUCGUACACCAGGCACCGGUUGACCCGGUAGGUGCCGCCCUUCGCCUCCACCCAGGGCAGCAUGCGCAGCAGCCACCGUGAGCUGAUGCCCUGCAUCUGUGGCACGGUCUUGGUGAUGGUCGCCAGGUUGCGGGCGGCGGCGAUCCCGAGACUGAGCUGCGCCCG
rnacentral:antisense_RNA from 1 species